AGAGUUUGAUCCUGGCUCAGGAUGAACGCUGGCGGCGUGCCUAAUACAUGCAAGUCGAGCGAACGGACGAGAAGCUUGCUUCUCUGAUGUUAGCGGCGGACGGGUGAGUAACACGUGGAUAACCUACCUAUAAGACUGGGAUAACUUCGGGAAACCGGAGCUAAUACCGGAUAAUAUUUUGAACCGCAUGGUUCAAAAGUGAAAGACGGUCUUGCUGUCACUUAUAGAUGGAUCCGCGCUGCAUUAGCUAGUUGGUAAGGUAACGGCUUACCAAGGCAACGAUGCAUAGCCGACCUGAGAGGGUGAUCGGCCACACUGGAACUGAGACACGGUCCAGACUCCUACGGGAGGCAGCAGUAGGGAAUCUUCCGCAAUGGGCGAAAGCCUGACGGAGCAACGCCGCGUGAGUGAUGAAGGUCUUCGGAUCGUAAAACUCUGUUAUUAGGGAAGAACAUAUGUGUAAGUAACUGUGCACAUCUUGACGGUACCUAAUCAGAAAGCCACGGCUAACUACGUGCCAGCAGCCGCGGUAAUACGUAGGUGGCAAGCGUUAUCCGGAAUUAUUGGGCGUAAAGCGCGCGUAGGCGGUUUUUUAAGUCUGAUGUGAAAGCCCACGGCUCAACCGUGGAGGGUCAUUGGAAACUGGAAAACUUGAGUGCAGAAGAGGAAAGUGGAAUUCCAUGUGUAGCGGUGAAAUGCGCAGAGAUAUGGAGGAACACCAGUGGCGAAGGCGACUUUCUGGUCUGUAACUGACGCUGAUGUGCGAAAGCGUGGGGAUCAAACAGGAUUAGAUACCCUGGUAGUCCACGCCGUAAACGAUGAGUGCUAAGUGUUAGGGGGUUUCCGCCCCUUAGUGCUGCAGCUAACGCAUUAAGCACUCCGCCUGGGGAGUACGACCGCAAGGUUGAAACUCAAAGGAAUUGACGGGGACCCGCACAAGCGGUGGAGCAUGUGGUUUAAUUCGAAGCAACGCGAAGAACCUUACCAAAUCUUGACAUCCUUUGAC
rnacentral:rRNA from 1 species